rnacentral:rRNA from 1 species
UACGUAGGGGGCAAGCGUUGUCCGGAUUUACUGGGCGUAAAGAGCGUGUAGGCGGCCACGCAGGUCCGUUGUGAAAACUGGAGGCUCAACCUCCAGCUGUCGGCGGAAACCAUCUGGCUAGAGUCCGGAAGGGGAGAAUGGAAUUCCCGGUGUAGCGGUGAAAUGCGCAGAUAUCGGGAAGAACACCCGUGGCGAAGGCGGUUCUCUGGGACGGUACCGACGCUGAGACGCGAAAGCGUGGGGAGCGAACAGG